rnacentral:lncRNA from 1 species
GUGAUUUUAUAAGGGGAAACCCCUUUCAUUUGGCUUUCAGUCUCUCCUAGCCUACUGUGAUGGAAGAUGUGGCUUUGUUCCUCCUCAGCUUCCGCCAAGAUUGUGAGGCCUCCCCAGCCAUGUGGAACUGUGCUCGCCCAGCCUCUGUUUGGUACUUGCAGUGCUUCCAGCUCAUCACCUCCCAAGACGCCCCAUUAUGAGAAGCUCUGACACCUCCACGAUUUACAGACUGGAACAGACUCCCAGGAGGUCCAUUCAUCCAUUCUGCUGCCCCCUCAAAUUCAUGCUGCUCAGAGUAGGACGUGAACCACUCUGGUUAGACAUAAAGACCAAGCUAAGGCCACAGAAGGAGCCAAAGAAGGCAGCAUUAACGCAGAGGAAAGAAGGUGAGUUUGUUUUGAUGGAAAUGCUGGGUCCACUCAGGCAAAGCAGAGGCUCCUCAAACUGGUUCCCUGCGGGUCUCCCAUUCAAAUGGAAUGCAUUUUCUUGGCGCACCCACUGUGGCACAGUGCCAAGCACUGCAGGGGAUGCCACCUAACACAAAUUCAUUUGGAUUCUCCAAAUGAAUCCUCGAAGUGGAUGGUGCUCCUUCCACGUUGCAGAUGAGGAAAGUGAGGCCCUGUUCGGAUCUUCUGUCUCUCGGUGUAGAUUUCUUCAUAGCUUUACUGUUUUUGUCUCCUUCCUGGGCCACUGUGUUCUGAGUCACCAAAAGAGACACCACGGUAGGCUCAAUGGAUCAUGUCCAAAGCUACCAACCGC